CCGUAAAGUUGGACCUCGUAUCAAGUGCUCAGUAUGAGGUGGGCGCUUGCAUCUUGGUUUAAUUGCCGAGGAUUGGCGGACGGGGGAGGAACACGUGGGUAACCUGCCCUUAAGUGGGGGAUAACAUUUGGAAACAGAUGCUAAUACCGCAUAAAUCCAAGAACCGCAUGGUUCUUGGCUGAAAGAUGGCGUAAGCUAUCGCUUUUGGAUGGACCCGCGGCGUAUUAGCUAGUUGGUGAGGUAACGGCUCACCAAGGCAAUGAUACGUAGCCGAACUGAGAGGUUGAUCGGCCACAUUGGGACUGAGACACGGCCCAAACUCCUACGGGAGGCAGCAGUAGGGAAUCUUCCACAAUGGACGCAAGUCUGAUGGAGCAACGCCGCGUGAGUGAAGAAGGCUUUCGGGUCGUAAAACUCUGUUGUUGGAGAAGAAUGGUCGGCAGAGUAACUGUUGUCGGCGUGACGGUAUCCAACCAGAAAGCCACGGCUAACUACGUGCCAGCAGCCGCGGUAAUACGUAGGUGGCAAGCGUUAUCCGGAUUUAUUGGGCGUAAAGCGAGCGCAGGCGGUUUUUUAAGGUCUGAUGGGAAAGCCCUCGGCUUAACCGAGGAAGUGCAUCGGAAACUGGGAAACUUGAGUGCAGAAGAGGACAGUGGAACUCCAUGUGUAGCGGUGAAAUGCGUAGAUAUAUGGAAGAACACCAGUGGCGAAGGCGGCUGUCUGGUCUGUAACUGACGCUGAGGCUCGAAAGCAUGGGUAGCGAACAGGAUUAGAUACCCUGGUAGUCCAUGCCGUAAACGAUGAAUGCUAGGUGUUGGAGGGUUUCCGCCCUUCAGUGCCGCAGCUAACGCAUUAAGCAUUCCGCCUGGGGAGUACGACCGCAAGGUUGAAACUCAAAGGAAUUGACGGGGGCCCGCACAAGCGGUGGAGCAUGUGGUUUAAUUCGAAGCAACGCGAAGAACCUUACCAGGUCUUGACAUCUUUUGAUCACCUGAGAGAUCAGGUUUCCCCUUCGGGGGCAAAAUGACAGCGUGGUGCAUGGUUGUCGUCAGCUCGUGUCGUGAGAUGUUGGGUUAAGUCCCGCAACGAGCGCAACCCUUAUGACUAGUUGCCAGCAUUUAGUUGGGCACUCUAGUAAGACUGCCGGUGACAAACCGGAGGAAGGUGGGGAUGACGUCAAAUCAUCAUGCCCCUUAUGACCUGGGCUACACACGUGCUACAAUGGAUGGUACAACGAGUUGCGAGACCGCGAGGUCAAGCUAAUCUCUUAAAGCCAUUCUCAGUUCGGACUGUAGGCUGCAACUCGCCUACACGAAGUCGGAAUCGCUAGUAAUCGCGGAUCAGCACGCCGCGGUGAAUACGUUCCCGGGCCUUGUACACACCGCCCGUCACACCAUGAGAGAGGUAACCCCUGAAGCCGGUCGCGGAUCCGGAAGUGGUACCAAGGUACCAGUUGAG
rnacentral:rRNA from 2 species